UUACUCACGUCUCCUUCGAUUCUCCUCUUGCUUCUCGGAUUCGUAAUCUUCUUAACACCAAAAAAGAAGCUAAACAACAAACUGUUCUAGCCUCAGCCCCCACAAGUUUUAGCCUCAGCCUCAGCCCCAGCCCCAGCCCCAGCCCCAGCCCCAGCAGUAGUAUUACUACUAGCAGCGGUAGUUGUAAUAGCGGCGGAGGCCUAAGCAAUGAGAAUUCUUCUCCU
rnacentral:lncRNA from 1 species